ACUACAAACCGUGCUAUCGUCUUUCCCGUUAAACGGAAGGAAGGAAAGUCCGGACAGCAUAGGGCAACGCACCACCUAACGGGUGGGAUCCCGGCGCAGGCCGGGAUACAGACAGUGCCACAGAAAAUAACCGCCACGGCUUGCCGGGGUAAGGGUGAAAAUGUGGGGUAAGAGCCCACGUUCUGAUAUGGCAACAUGUUGGAAGGGUAAACCUUGCGUGCUGAAAUGCCAUGUAUACGGUCGUUUGAGGGCUGCCCGCCCGAUGACCGAGGGUAGGCAGAUACAGGUAACGCGUGAGCGUUAUCGCAGAUAAAUGAUAGCAGUUCCGGUGCAAACCGGGAAACAGAAUCCGGCUUACAGGUUUGUAGUUUUA
rnacentral:RNase_P_RNA from 1 species